UGUAGGCCUGUAUAAGACAAGUUGUUAAUAGACUUGUUUGAUUAACACUUUUCCCCCCUCUGUUCCCUAAAACAGAUCGGACCAAUCAUGUUCUGCAGGAUAAACCGAAGCGUCCCUGUCCUGCAGAAAUGUUUCAGUGGGGAAGACCCCAAACCAGACUUUCGGCUGAGCAGGGAGGCCCUGGCAGUGCUGCUGGACCUCCUUCAACAAGAGCGAAGACACGGAUGGGGUGCCACAAUUGAGACCCUUGUUUUUUUGUUUUGGAUUGCCUGUGGGACAUCGUACAGGGUGGUCGCCAGAGCAUUUGCGAUGCCACGAUCAACUGUCCACCGCAUCGUCCACCGAGUCACUGGGGAGGUGGUGGCCAUUCGCCACAAGGUCAUCCACCUCCUGAAGACCGCUUCAUUGACACCACUUGAAAUUUCCCCUGGGGAUCAAUAAAGUAUCUAUCUAUCUAUCUAUCUAUCUAUCUACCUAUGUGUCAGGUCAGACAUUCCCCUCAUGACACACAUGGAGCAUGCAAAGUUUCAUCUCUGUAGCUGUAUGGGGAAAGUGUGAAACGUGAGGAAUGUGUGACUUUUGCCAUUGUUUAAAAAUGUUGGACACGGAAAGGUAACAGCCACACCUCACAUCAUGGGAGCCAUGCGGCAACCGUGUGGUGACUGUGGUGACAUCACAUAGAAUUGGGUGUCACAUGACCUGGUUGGCCGAGUCAGGGAGAGUCCAUUCAAGACAACAUGGCAACAGGAAACGAUCUUCACCACAAAUGCAGACUCUGUCUGGACAUAAUGAAGUUGAUGGUGAUAAUGAAGUGAUUGAUGAAGGCCAUGGCAGACCAAACAGUCUGCAAUCCACCACACGGUCAGUUUCAGCCAUUGUCCUGGAAAUGGAGGGGGACCAGGAAAGAAGGCGGAAACAUGAGGCUCUGCACGUCUUCCCCGCCAGCACAGGCCCAGCCACUGAGGACGAUUGCCCCUGAGGAGCCAGCGGGAGACAGGCACUGUUUUUUUGUUGUUGUUUUUUAAGUUAAUGUUUUAAUAAAAUUUAAAUCUUGUUCA